UUGCACUCUAUUUGAAAUUUAUAUGGUGUAAUUUCAGCCUCGGAGUGUGAAAGUUUAAUGACCACAUGUACCAUUAUGAAGCUGCGCUAGGUUGCUCUGAACUAAAGUCAUAAUAAUUAUGCGAUUGAUAGAAUAAUGUCAGUAAAUGUGCGGACAUUAAUAGGGCUGAGUUGGUGUGGUUCUCGCAGUGACCGCCAGAUGGCAGCCGCGCCAUUUGCGACCAGCGCUUCUGCUGUUCCUGAAACAAAGAACACAUUCAGAUACUGUAGCUAAAACACACACCAUUUUGUGAAACCUUCCUUUAAAAUAGUCUACGUAAUUUAGAAAAUCAGUAAUGCUGAUAAAAAAUACAAAUAAAUGUCUGCAAGAUGGUACGUUCAGAUACAAACGCAUAAUAAUCCAAAAUAACGUGGCUGAAUUAUUAUUAUGUAUGAACUUGUUCUCAUUAGCAGGGUUAUGUUUAUAAAAUUUUAAUUCUCAUAUGUUUAAAAACCACAAUGUAAGAUUUUUCAGAUUACAUUUAAAAAUUAUAAUAGAAUUUUGUUAAAGGCUACUCUAAAAUCUAAAGUUUUACUUUUCAAUUAAUUCUUAAUAAAAUCAUUCACAACUGUUUUAACAUUCAUUGAAACCAUAUUAAAAUAAAAGUGGGAGCUCGUGGCUCUCAUAUAACUGUACUUUUGAUAAAUAUUUCUGGUCUAGGCUCAAGAGUAGCUUCAUAUGAGCUAAAAGUAGAUCUAAAAAAAACAUUGUACAGCGUAAAUAAGUUUAACAAUUAACUAUAAGUUUAUGCUCUUGAAAAUCACAACCCUUUCUUUGCUCCAGUUUUCUCAAAGUGCUUUUUGGAAAUAAGUUUACCAUCAGUCUACACUAUUAAAUAACUGCUAAUUUAAAGGCAACAUUAACCAAUGCACAUAAUCGAUAACCAACACAAUGGCAUUCUCAUAAUCUCAGCUGGUUAUUAUUCAGUCAAUCAGAUUACACAUUACACAAUUCUGCUGAUGCCCACAGGUACCGCAUGCAAUUGUAAUGCAAUGAAAAAGUCACUGGCUUUUACCUUCCCAUAAGCAUGCUUGCAUAAAUUCAUUUGCUCUGUCUGUCCACACACAAUAAAAGUUCUAACACAACCGCAGCAUUAUAGAAGCAUUAGAAGAUGAGGAAAAAACCCAUCCCUACACAGGCGAGAACAAACAAAACAAGGCAGCAGCAUGUCAAUUAAAUUAAAGGGGGAAGCUAAAUGAACAAAACGUCAAAUGCACAUAUUAAAGCUAAAUGAAAUAGCCCCGAGGAGCCUGCGAGACGUGCAGAUUAGAGCUCAGGAGGAUCCGCAGAGAUGUAAAUAAUGAAACCCAGCUCAACCUGCACACGCUGGGAUUGCAGCAUGGACACGAGAGACGUUCAGCAUCCAAACUAAACACCAAAAAAACAGGCUAUUCAGCUCCAAACAUGUUGUUCAUCUAGAAAUGAGUUGAGCUGGCUGCCUAAAUUGUGUUAGUGAAAAGCAUGACCAGCACAACGGGACUGUGCUGUGCGUUAAAAACCUGAGGAUGUGAGUCUUUAAUGCAGAAGAUAAGCUUAUUAUACGAUAUGGCUUAUGGAAGAUUAAUACCAUCGGCAUAAAAAAUGUGGCAUUUUAAAGAUCUUGUAAGAAUAUUAGGUGUUUCAGCUCCUAAGGACUGUCUCGUAAUAUAGCACAGAAUUGUUUUUAUGUCCUGUUUUCUUGCUGUUAGCAGAGUAUAUACUCUUUAAAGUCAACUUGUCAUUCACAAUUUUACAUGCGUAAUGUGACAUAUUUAACAGAGUGAAACAGGAUCUUGAAAAAAAAAAAUGUAGGGUGGGAUUUUUAUUGUUAUUUUAUUAACCCAGUAGUUCUCAGCAAUUAGGACUCCAGUACAAUAUUUGAAGGUCAUUCUAUCACAGCAUAUAUUCACCUCUGAUACUUUGACUGUAAUAAAAAAUAAAUAAAUCAGAUUAAAUCUGUUCAGUGCUGAACAUCUUUAUUUUUUUAGUGUUUUUAAAAAGCAUUUUAAUUAAGAUUGUUAAUAUAAUCUACACAAUAUUAAGGGUUUUGUUAUAAUUAUCAUCAUCCUGACCUGGAACUACUGAUAAAAAUUAGCUAUCCUUAAUCUGGCUGCUUUUAUGUUUUAUUAAUUUGUAUCGUCCCUGAUUUAAAAAAAAAAAAAAAACUGAGGUUACAAAGGUUUGCCGAGGCCCCCUGAGAAUCACUGUAAUCAGUAUAAAACUGUUGAUCUGAUGGCAAAACAGAAUAGAAUUUGCUUAAAUAAGGCCUAAAUAGCUGUUUGAGUGUUAUCCAAUAGCCUGCAUGGCCUAAGUGAUGUCUUCAUAAAAGGAAAGUCGUUUCAGAGUAUGAGCAAGAUAUUUGAUUUUAAUUAAAGGUAAACCAUUUACUUUGGAACACAAAAGAUUGUAUUUUGAGAAAAGUCUCAGUGUUUAUUGUUAUUUUUUUUAAAAUAAAGAAUGUCAAAAGGGUUCAGGGUUAUUUUGGACCCUAUAUUGAUUUCAAGUGCAUGGCCAAAAAACAUUCUUUGAAAUGUAUUUUGCAGUAAACCUGGUCAGUUUACUAAAGCAGAUAUUUACUUUAUUCUGUGGAACACAAAAGAACAUUUUGAGAAAUGUCUCAGCAUUUUUUUUGUCCGUUAGAGUCAGUGUCGUUUUAGACCCUGUUGACUUUCAGUGUAAGGCCAGAAGCGUUUUCGAAAUAUCUUAUUUUGUGUUCUGCAGAGAGAAGAAAGACAUUCAUACAGCCGGGUUUGAAGUGACAAUUUUUAAGGUGAACUGUGCCUUUAAGAUCACUUUAUGUUAGUGUUCACCUCAGCCUAUAGAAUGCUCAUCUCAGAUGUUGAUAUAUUUCAUCUGAGACGUCUCUAAAGUCCACCAGCACGAUCAAUCAGACAUGCAUCAUCUGUAGCCAAUGGCUCCCUCCGAGUGAGAGCGAUCUGGCCUAAGUGUGUAUGCUUGACGCCUGCUUUGCUGAUUUCUGUCAGCGUUAAUAUGAGAAAUGAGCUCUGAGCUGUGCCACUGAUGUGCCUGAGGAAACUAAAUUGACGGGCACACAGUUUUCCGGUUUCAGAUGGGGCCUCCGUAGCUUCUUCUGCACUGAUGUGACUGCUCUCAGUCAUGCUGCCUUGUCCCUCAAGCAACAGGUGACAGAAGUUACAAGCAAAUGUGUCUUUGGCCAUGGCGGCCCUCCUAUGAGGACCUGACCCAGGGCAGGCUGUCUGGCAACAUGCCCGAUGGAGAAGUGAGCUGUCUCGACUCAGAGGAUGUCAAGUCACGUCUUCAUCGGAGAAGAGUUUAAUCCAUGUUUGAGAAAAAAAAAAAGUUGUCAUGGCUGAAGAGAUCUGAUCUCAGAACAGAGACAGAUUAUUGGUAGGAAGCUUUUUGUAAUUUUCUUACAGUAAUAGAUAGCCUUAAAGCAUUUGUUGUUGUUUGUUAAAACUAAAAAUGAUGAAUAUUAUCAUACAAUUAUUGUUGUAGACCAAUUCUGGUCUCUCAUUCUCUCUUUUGCUCUAUAGGGUUGUGUGUCUGUGUGGUGUGUGAUCUGUUUUGGUUAAGGAUGGAAUGGCGCCAGAGAGCAGGCUACUAGGAAUGAAAAGACCGCUGCUAUUCUGAAACUUAGUUUGAAUUACAUCCUGCAACUUAUGUGUGUCAUCAAAUCCUGCCAGGGUGGUGGUGCGCAAGAUGGAGGAAGGAGUGGCAGUUUGUUUUGGGGCCUGCGACGUGGCUGUCUUUAUAUUGUUGCGGGAGCCCGGUCUUUUCCUGUUCUUCGGCACUCUCUCGCUCUCUUCCUCUCAGCUCCAGACUGUUGGGCUUUAUUAACCCUCCUAAGCACGGGGGACCUAAGGGAGGUCAGACAUCGGUCGUUAAAAAUCUAUUGUGACUCGUCGGGAAAAUGAAUAAAUGAGCACAUUAUUCCCCCC